rnacentral:rRNA from 1 species
GAUGAACGCUGGCGGCGUGCCUCAAACAUGCAAGUCGAGCGGGGCUAUGUAAUAUCGCAAGGUAGAACAUAGCCUAGCGGCGAACGGGUGAGUAACACGUGGGUAACCUGCCUGGAAGACAGGGAUAACGAUUCGAAAGGGUCGCUAAUACCUGAUAAUAUCCUUUCAUCGCAUGGUGAUAGGAAGAAAGGGGAAACCCGCUUUCAGAUGGGCCCGCGUCCCAUCAGCUAGUUGGUAAGGUAAAGGCUUACCAAGGCGACGACGGGUAGCCGGUCUGAGAGGAUGUACGGCCACACUGGGACUGAGAUACGGCCCAGACUCCUACGGGAGGCAGCAGUUGGGAAUCUUAGGCAAUGGACGAAAGUCUGACCUAGCGACGCCGCGUGAGGGAAGAAGGCCUUUGGGUUGUAAACCUCUGUCAUGGGGGAAGAAGUAAGUGACGGUACCCCAAGAGGAAGCCCCUGCUAACUACGUG